AUUGAACGCUAGCGGCAGGCCUAAUACACGCAAGUCGAACGGUGUCUUCGGACAUAGUGGCGCACGGGUGCGUAACACGUAUGCAACCUACCUUACAUUGGGGGAUAGCCUUUCGAAAGGGAGAUUAAUACCGCAUAAGACAGUAGCUGGGCAUCCAGCAGCUGUUAAAGAUUUAUCGAUGUAAGCUGGGCAUGCGUCCAAUUCGCUAGUUGGUGAGGUAACGGCUCACCAAGGCAAUGAUUGGUAGGGGAACUGAGAGGUCAAUCCCCCACACUGGCACUGAGAUACGGGCCAGACUCCUACGGGAGGCAGCAGUAGGGAAUAUUGGGCAAUGGACGCAAGUCUGACCCAGCCAUGCCGCGUGCAGGAUGAAGGCGUUAUGCGUUGUAAACUGCUUUUAUACAGGAAGAAACGACUCUUGCGAGAGGCAUUGACGGUACUGUAUGAAUAAGCACCGGCUAACUCCGUGCCAGCCGCCGCCGUAACAC
rnacentral:rRNA from 1 species